rnacentral:rRNA from 1 species
CCGCGGUAAUUCCAGCUCCAAUAGCGUAUAUUAAAGUUGUUGCAGUUAAAAAGCUCGUAGUUGGAUCUCGGGUCCGGGCUCGCGGUCCACCUCGCGGUGGUUACUGCCCGUCCCGACCUACCUACCGGUUUUCCCUUGGUGCUCUUAACUGAGUGUCUCGGGUGGCCGGAACGUUUACUUUGAAAAAAUUAGAGUGUUCAAAGCAGGCGCUUCGCCUGAAUAAUGUUGCAUGGAAUAAUGGAAUAGGACCUCGGUUCUAUUUUGUUGGUUUUCGGAACUCGAGGUAAUGAUUAAGAGGGACAGACGGGGGCAUUCGUAUGAUGGUGUUAGAGGUGAAAUUCUUGGAUCGCCGUCAGACGAACUACUGCGAAAGCAUUUGCCAAGAAUGUUUUCAUUAAUCAAGAACGAAAGUCAGAGGUUCGAAGACGAUCAGAUACCGUCCUAGUUCUGACCAUAAACGAUGCCGACUAGCGAUCCGCCGGAGUUGUUUCAAUGACCCGGCGGGCAGCUUCCGGGAAACCAAAGUCUUUGGGUUCCGGGGGAAGUAUGGUUGCAAAGCUGAAACUUAAAGGAAUUGACGGAAGGGCACCACCAGGAGUGGAGCCUGCGGCUUAAUUUGACUCAACACGGGAAAGCUUACCCGGCCCGGACACCGUAAGGAUUGACAGAUUGAGAGCUCUUUCUUGAUUCGGUGGGUGGUGGUGCAUGGCCGCUCUUAGUUGGUGGAGCGAUUUGUCUGGUUAAUUCCGAUAACGAACGAGACUCUAGCCUAUUAAAUAGUUCGCCGAUUUCGAUCUGUCGGCGUUAACUUCUUAGAGGGACAAGUGGCUUUUAGCCACGCGAGAUUGAGCAAUAACAGGUC